UGGGGAAUAUUGCACAAUGGGGGGAACCCUGAUGCAGCGAUGCCGCGUGGAGGAAGAAGGUUUUCGGAUUGUAAACUCCUGUCUUAAAGGACGAUAAUGACGGUACUUUAGGAGGAAGCUCCGGCUAACUACGUGCCAGCAGCCGCGGUAAUACGUAGGGAGCGAGCGUUGUCCGGAAUUACUGGGUGUAAAGGGAGCGUAGGCGGGAUCGCAAGUCAGAUGUGAAAUACAUAGGCUUAACCUAUGGGCUGCAUUUGAAACUGUGGUUCUUGAGUGAAGUAGAGGUAAGCGGAAUUCCUGGUGUAGCGGUGAAAUGCGUAGAUAUCAGGAGGAACACCGGUGGCGAAGGCGGCUUACUGGGCUUUAACUGACGCUGAGGCUCGAAAGCGUGGGUAGCAAACAGG
rnacentral:rRNA from 1 species